rnacentral:rRNA from 1 species
GUGAGGAAUUUUCCGCAAUGGGCGAAAGCCUGACGGAGCAAUGCCGCGUGAAGGAUGAAGGCCUAUGGGUUGUAAACUUCUUUUCUCAGAAAAGAAUUAUGACGGUAUCUGAGGAAUAAGCAUCGGCUAACUCUGUGCCAGCAGCCGCGGUAAGACAGAGGAUGCAAGCGUUAUCCGGAAUGAUUGGGCGUAAAGCGUCUGUAGGUUGUUUAAAAAGUAUUCUGUCAAAGAUUAGGGCUUAACCCUAGAUAGGCAGAAUAAACUUUUAAGCUAGAGUUUGGUAGAGGCAGAGUGAAUUCCCGGUGGAGCGGUGAAAUGCGUAGAUAUCGGGAGGAACACCAAAGGCGAAGGCACUCUGCUGGGCCAAUACUAACACUGAGAGACGAAAGCGAGGGGAGCAAAUGGGAUUAGAUACCCUUGUAGUCC